UUUGGCCUACGGGGGGCAGCAGUGAGGAAUAUUGGUCAACGGCCGAGAGGCUGAACCAGCCACGUCGCGUGAGGGAUGACGGCCCUACGGGUUGUAAACCUCUUUUGUCGGGGAGCAAGACCCGCCACGAGUGGCGGAGCGAGAGUACCCGAAGAAAAAGCAUCGGCUAACUCCGUGCCAGCAGCCGCGGUAAUACGUAUGGGGCAAGCGUUAUCCGGAUUUACUGGGUGUAAAGGGAGCGUAGGCGGCCUGGCAAGCCUGAUGUGAAAUACCGGGGCCCAACCCCGGGGCUGCAUUGGGAACUG
rnacentral:rRNA from 1 species